CAAGAAGAUAAAUGUCUGACGUCUGCUGCAGCUCGAGUAUAUACAUAAGCUAAAAAGGAUAUGGUGCUCCCAAAAUUAUCACGCUUAAGGUCCUAAAACCUAAUAACAACGAUUUAAAAGGCGGAAGGAAAACGGGUUUUCCUCUUGGAGAGCUGAAGAGCAAGCAAGGAGACAACGUGAGGCAUAACAAAGAGAAGAGUCUCUCUCAACUUCAGAUUCAGUGAAGUUUUCUUAAGUAAGGUAAUUGCUCUUUUGACACUACCCUAGCAUUCCAAUACACUAGCCACACGUACUUAAUCAA